GCCCUCUAUCCCCAUCCCUGCCCCCCGCGCCCCACGGGAGACAAAGUCUCAUGUGAACAUUGUUUUUUUGUGGCUCCGUUUGGAACCUCAAGGGGCUCAGCAUAUUGUCCUUUGGGAACAAACCGCCCCCCUCCUCCCCCAAACUUGGGUCUUCCUUUAGCUGCAUUUAGGUUCUGGGAUUGAUCCCAAGGCCUACAGCAUGGUACGCAAGUAUCCCCAGUGCUUAGAAACUUAGGUCUUCUCCACUCUAAGAUUGGGGAUAGGAGAGCAACACCCACACCUGUCCUGUCGCAGGUGGCAUGCAGGAAAACCAGGUUCUGAUGGAGACUCUGUCUCUUCCCAGUGCAGUGAGGGAGGGCAGAAACCCUGGGACUCCUGGAGUAAUUCUGAGGUAAUCCUCCAGAGAGAGUUCUCUUUCCACUUGAACAGGUCUGCGUGGGGUGAAGGGGCUUGUUUACACCCCUGGACCCUGCUGCAGACCCAAGUGGCCCUGGAUGACUGUGUGUGUGUGUGUGUGUGUGUGUGUGUGUGUGUGUGUGUGUGUUCCUGCUCCUGAAGGAGCUGGGAUGUGGUGCCUGUACCAGAACCUGGAGCAGAGCAGUCAAGCCCUCAAGUGUCUCCUUCACCGCGUGUUCUGGUGGUGGGGAUUGUGACAUCGGUGCCCACAUGUAUCCAGGGGUACCAGGACUGAGAGUUCCCAGAAAGUGUUUGGCUGAGUGACCCCCAUGACCACUUGGUAUGAAGUGGAGACAAUCAACUUCUCUUGUAGACACGACACCUCAAAGUGCUACCCCAUACCUGUUUCAUCCUGUCCUGGACCUGUCCUGUCCUGGACUGUAUUCAUCAGAGGAAGCCUCCAGUGCUAAGAACCACACUCAGGGCAUUAUCCAUUCCAUACUACAUGCGUGUUCUGUCACUGAGCUAGACCCUCCGCCUUCCCUGAACCCUUCCCUGCCCGGCUCCCCGAAGCAUGGGGAGAGAGCUCUGUGGAAAUCCCUUCUCAGCAGUGAGGCCAGAUUACAAAGGGAGCCUAUCGUCCACCUCAGAAAGGAAGACUGGGGACCAGGACACACCUGAUUGGACUUCCGUAUAAGCUAACAACUGUCCCUGCGUUCAUUUGGACUCCAAGAGACUGUCUCCACUUUCUGACAAAAGUGUCUAAAUGUGUCUAUUCUUUCCUCUCCUAUAGAAAAGGAGACACCCAAGCCUCCAAGUGACAUUGGUUGGUUUCACACAUUCUCCACUUCCUUCUGAGGAAGUCCAGCCCAGACGCUGUGAAAGCCAGACGACUUUAUCCAAGGUCUAAGAACUGCAGCUGGGCAAAAUACAGAUCGGACAGUUACGAGGGAGUGCUCUACAGUGAUUCAUCACAGACUUGAAGUCCAGAGGGAGAGCCACAGUUCCGUGGGAGGAGGGCCACUGUCAGAGAGACACGCCUCUCACCCACUCGGCUACUGGUCCUGGCUGCACCCGAUUGGUUGAGCUGUCUGCACAGGUAAAAAGUUCGUUAGUCGUUUGUGAGCCUGUUGUGUCCAAUAAAAGACAUUAAUACCUUCCAAGGCCUUGGUGCAGCUCAAAGUUCUCAUUCCCAUGCCAUUUUCAUGGCCAAUUUAAGAAGUCUGUCUCCCUUGCUAGGAGGCUGCAUGCUUAUAUCCCAGCACUUGAAAGGUAGGAGGAGGAGGAGUUCCAGGUCACCUAGCUGUAUAGAGAGUUGGUUAGGCUGCAUGAAACCCUACCUCAAAAAACAAACAGUAAAUCCCUGGGCAGCGGCCCGAUAUUUGCAUAGAUCAGUAGUUCCUUAAAG